rnacentral:rRNA from 1 species
AUUGAACGCUGGCGGUAGGCCUAACACAUGCAAGUCGAACGAGUGGCGGACGGGUGAGGAAUACAUCGGAAUCUACUCUGUGGGGGGGGAUAACGUAGGGAAACUUACGCUAAUACCGCAUACGAUAGAAUGGGCCGAGGUGGGAUUAGCUAGUUGGGGGGGUAAAGGCCCACCAAGGCGACGAUCCGUAGCUGGUCUGAGAGGAUGAUCAGCCACACUGGAACUGAGACACGGUCCAGACUCCUACGGGAGGCAGCAGUGGGGAAUAUUGGACAAUGGGCGCAAGCCUGAUGCAGCCAUGCCGCGUGUGUGAAGAAGGCCUUCGGGUUGUAAAGCCCUUUUGGUGGGAAAGCGGUACCCAAAGAAUAAGCACCGGCUAACUCCGUGCCAGCAGCCGCGGUAAUAC